GACGAACGCUGGCGGCGUGCUUAACACAUGCAAGUCGAACGGAAAGGCCCUGCUUUUGUGGGGUGCUCGAGUGGCGAACGGGUGAGUAACACGUGAGUAACCUGCCCUUGACUUUGGGAGAACUGCAGGAAACUGGGGCUAAUACCGGAUAGGAGCUCCGGCUGCAUGGUGGGGGUUGGAAAGUUUCGGCGGUUGGGGAUGGACUCGCGGCUUAUCAGCUUGUUGGUGGGGGAGUGGCUUACCAAGGCUUUGACGGGUAGCCGGCCUGAGAGGGUGACCGGCCACAUUGGGACUGAGAUACGGCCCAGACGCCUACGGGAGGCAGCAGUGGGGAAUAUUGCACAAUGGGCGGAAGCCUGAUGCAGCAACGCCGCGUGCGGGAUGACGGCCUUCGGGUUGUAAACCGCUUUCGCCUGUGACGAAGCGUGAGUGACGGUAAUGGGUAAAGAAGCACCGGCUAACUACGUG
rnacentral:rRNA from 1 species